CAAGUCGUGGGGCAGCAGGUCUGUAGCAAUACAGACGCUGGCGACCGGCAAAUGGGUGCGGAACACGUACACAACCUUCCUUUAAGUGGGGAAUAGCCCAGAGAAAUUUGGAUUAAUACCCCGUGACAUUUUGAAGUGGCAUCACUUUAUAAUUAUAGCUACGGCGCUUAAUGAUGGGUGUGCGUCUGAUUAGGUAGUUGGCGGAGUAAUAGCCCACCAAGCCUACGAUCAGUAACUGGUGUGAGAGCACGACCAGUCACACGGGCACUGAGACACGGGCCCGACUCCUACGGGAGGCAGCAGUAAGGAAUAUUGGGCAAUGGACGCAAGUCUGACCCAGCCAUGCCGCGUGGAGGAUGAAGGUCCUCUGGAUUGUAAACUUCUUUUAUCUGGGAAGAAAUCCAUCUUUUCUUGGGUGGUUGACGGUACCAGAUGAAUAAGCACCGGCUAACUCCGUGCCAGCAGCCGCGGUAAUACGGAGGGUGCAAGCGUUAUCCGGAUUCACUGGGUUUAAAGGGUGCGUAGGUGGGCAGGUAAGUCAGUGGUGAAAUCCUGUAGCUUAACUACAGAACUGCCAUUGAUACUAUUUGUCUUGAAUACCCUGGAGGUGAGCGGAAUAUGUCAUGUAGCGGUGAAAUGCUUAGAUAUGACAUAGAACAUCUAUUGCGAAGGCAGCUCACUACGGGAAUAUUGACGCUGAGGCACGAAAGCGUGGGGAUCAAACAGGAUUAGAUACCCUGGUAGUCCACGCCCUAAACGAUGAUCACUCGACAUCAGCGAUACUCUGUUGGUGUCUGAGCGAAAGCAUUAAGUGAUCCACCUGGGAAGUACGAUCGCAAGAUUGAAACUCAAAGGAAUUGGCGGGGGUCCGCACAAGCGGUGGAAGCAUGUGGUUCAAUUC
rnacentral:rRNA from 1 species